rfam:Salmo salar isolate Sally breed double haploid chromosome ssa13, whole genome shotgun sequence.
UACACGCAUGACUGUACGUCGCUUUUGAUAAAAGCGUCUGCUAAAUGGCUUAGU